AAACAAUAAUUAGUGUGUGGUAAAUGAUUGUGUUAGAAUGUGAUGUUAAUUAUACAGAUAUAUAUGCAAGACAGAUCAAUAUAUGGCUAUUAACCACAGGCAUGCACUUCUUCGACAUCAACAAACUGUUAGGAUAAAUUUAUGAAAUGUGGAUCUUUAUUUAUGAAGCAUAGAUUUUGAUGUUGAUUUGCAUUAUUCAGUAUUUCUCAUUUUGAUUGUCCAUGAAAGCUGACUACAAAGUUUUGUGUACCAUCAGUGUCCGAAGUGGGAUUUUUUAAUGAGCAUACUUGUUCAGAAUUAUCUGGGCAUUAUUAAAGUUGUAUCAUCACUGCCAUCCAACUUUCAUUAUGGCAUGCUCCUUUAAACUCGCUGAAUAUUUGAUUUGUAAUUAAAACUAUUUUU
rnacentral:misc_RNA from 1 species